UCCGAGUUGACCCCGGCAGUCUCCCAUGAGUCCCCGCCUUUACGCGCUGGCAACAUGGAACGAGGGUUGCGCUCGUUGCGGGACUUAACCCAACACCUCACGGCACGAGCUGACGACAGCCAUGCAGCAUCUGUGCACGCUCCCUUGCGGGUCCUCCCGCUUUCACGGUCGUACCACGUGCAUGUCAAGCCUGGGUAAGGUUCUUCGCGUUGCGUCGAAUUAAACCACACGCUCCGCUGCUUGUGCGGGCCCCCGUCAAUUUCUUUGAGUUUUAGCCUUGCGGCCGUACUCCCCAGGCGGGGUACUUAAUGCGUUAGCUACGGCACGGAUCCCAAGGAAGGAAACCCACACCUAGUACCCACCGUUUACGGCGUGGACUAC
rnacentral:misc_RNA from 1 species